AUGAGAAGGGUGGCUUUUCAAAAUGAAUGUCUUGUUGCAGCCAGUCAAGAGGAGGUGGAUUUGUAUAUGCAUAAGUGGAGGGGGCUUACGAGCUCAGGGCGGGAAUUCCUAGGCGCGCCUUUUUCUCUCUCUGCUAUCCUGGCGGCGUCGAGGAAGGUCAUUCUGAGCGGAGUUUGAGACACUGCGUCUGAAGCGGGAAUUCGGAGGAGUCGCGGGGGGCGAACGGAGGGGAGGCAGCCAGCCAGCCGCCAUGAUCACCGUGCUGGAAUACGGGGACGGUUUCCUCCUCUGUGCUGCUGUGAGAUUACAAAACUCCCCCACCUUCACCCCAAAAAACUCGCGCCAUUUAGCAGCUUCCUUCUACAGAUUGCGAGCCUUACGGCAGUCGUUAACUCCGGCCAUCCUCCAGUUAAUAAUGCAGAAAUGCAUUGAACUCGAACGCACGUUGUGACGCGAGAACUCCCUCAGGAAACUUGGCGCCAGUCGCAGACAUGAAAAGAUCACUGCAAUAUUUGAAUAGAGAUGCUAUGAAGCGGGCAACUGUUAACUGAAGCAAAUUGUAUGUUGAAAGUGUUACAUUCAGCCAUAAGAAUACCAUCACUUAUUGAACAUGGUAAAACAUUAUUAUUACUAUGCCACUGCAGAAUAAACUAAAAAUAAAUUUUAGAAAAUUCAAGGGACAGAAAAGUUAAUUGGUUUCACAAAUCAGAAAUCAUCUCAUGCCUGUUUCAUGCCAUUUGUACACUGCAAUUUGGUAAUCAAUGGCAUUGAUCCAGCACACUGAAAAUAUUAUUUCCUGUUGUAUAUCUCAUUGCAAUCUCAUAGACCAAUAGAAGUACCUCCUUAACAACAUCAUGUCUCAAAUCUAGUGACAGUAGUACAGGAGCUUUGAUGGGUACACAGUUUCCGAUUCUGUGAAGAAUUUCUGCUCCAGUGAUACAUAUAUCACCUUUAUUGAAGAGAAAUUCAUCCUCCUGGGAGCUGUUUGUAUACAGUGAUGUGCUCAUAGUAUUUUAGACCCCGGGUGUAUGCAUGCAGCAAGUUUAGGAGAGUACAUGUUGUAGCAAAGUGUUUUGUUUGGCUGCCCCAUAAAAGUGGAAUUGUUGCCCUAAAGACUUGCCAAAGUCCAUGAUGGAAUGCAUCUGUAUCUGAGAGACUUUGCAGUAUGUGGCGUUGGGUGGUAAUUAGUGGAAUGGUGAGAAUUCUGAAGCUGGGAGUCUAUUGUUUUGAUUAUAAUUGAGUCAGUGCACUAUAUUGAUGGGUUGGUUAAGGAAGGAAUUUGCACACACUGCUCCAUAUUUUAAUUACCACCCCUUAUCACUCUCAUGAAAGUUGAUUUCAGGUAUGCUCAAGCUGCACACAAGGAUAUGUAUGUAUAAGGCAAAGCAAUUAAUCUACUGUUAAAGUUUGUGAGGGAUUUAACAUUGCCUACCAUUGGAGCCAGCAGUUUGGAACACUUCUGAUGCCAUUAUGCUGACUCGUACAUACAAAUGAAUGUAAAUAUUGCCUAAAGUGGAUAUUUAAAGUAAAGGAAUAUUAAAGUAGCUACAAAUUAUACUGUACAUUGCCAAGAUGUUGGAAAGAAAUAAUCUCAGAAGCUUUGGGUGGAAUUCUAAUAAUAAAUUAAGUAUGUAAAAUA